rnacentral:rRNA from 1 species
UACGUAGGGUGCAAGCGUUAAUCGGAAUUACUGGGCGUAAAGCGCGCGUAGGCGGCUUUUCAAGUCGAUUGUGAAAUCCCCGGGCUUAACCUGGGAACUGCAGUCGAGACUGUUUAGCUAGAGUAUGGGAGAGGGAAGUGGAAUUUCAGGUGUAGCGGUGAAAUGCGUAGAUAUCUGAAGGAACAUCAGUGGCGAAAGCGACUUCCUGGACCAAUACUGACGCUCAUGUGCGAAAGCGUGGGGAGCAAACAGG